UUUAACAAACAUGAAAAAGUGUCAGUUCAUCACUUUCACGAGGUUGCUAAGUUCAACUACUUAAGAAAUUGUCUCGAAUCUAGGUUGUGCCUUUUGAUUUCGAGAAAAUUAACAAGUAAUGAAGAUUGUUUCACUUCUCUCAUUGACUUCUCAAGCCCCAAAUCCCGGCAUGUUCUGUUUACUAUUUCAGAAGCGUUCCUGGAUGUCUCGCGAUGUUGCGCCUCUGGGUUUAGAAACUCUGUGAUUUGGUCUAUAAAAUAGGGUGUAACACCCCAUCUACAUCUAGGUAGAGACACAUAUACGUAUGUUGUACACCUGGCUCCUAUUUUGAACAUCUACUUGUAAUUUUGCAUCCAUUAAACUUCGUUGAUUUAAGUCAGACCUACAAGAUCAACAAGAGAAUGGGUAGCGAUAAAUCAAAAAACCGAGCGGAUAAGGCAGAGAAAGACCUCAAUCAAGCCAAAACGGAAAAAAAGAAAGUGAAGAAGGGAAAGACGACUGAAAACGAUUACAACCAACUCCUUGCUAAGAACGUGAGACUGGAAACAGAACAAAAGAUGGAAGAAGAACGAAGACAGGAGCUCGAGAGGGAAAGACUACAAUUAAUGGAACACAAUAGACAGCGAGAGAAAGAUGAAAGGACCAGGAUUAAGCAGGAAAAAGAGAUUGUAAAAGGAGAUCAGAACACUGUAUAAAAAAGGGCAUAAACUGUUUAAUUUAUCCACAAAAUGUAUUAUUGAACAAAGCACACAAACAUUGUAAACUUUUAAUAUCCACAUUUGCACUGCCUGUUUUAUUUUCCUCUGUGUUUAAGUGGCGAGUGGUUUUAUAAUCCUGUUAGCCGUCUUUUGGUUUUGUUUACCUGGCUGCUGCCACCAAAUGCUUUUCAAACCAAUGCCUGUCAAUAUCUGAGAAUCCUCUGUAGCUUUUCAAUAAAUAGAUUCUAUUGAUA